rnacentral:rRNA from 1 species
AUUGAACGCUGGCGGCAGGCCUAACACAUGCAAGUCGAGCGGAUGAAGGGAGCUUGCUCCUGGCUUCAGCGGCGGACGGGUGAGUAAUGCCUAGGAAUCUGCCUGGUAGUGGGGGAUAACGUCCGGCAACGGGCGCUAAUACCGCAUACGUCCUGAGGGAGAAAGUGGGGGAUCUUCGGACCUCACGCUAUCAGAUGAGCCUAGGUCGGAUUAGCUAGUUGGUGGGGUAAAGGCCUACCAAGGCGACGAUCCGUAACUGGUAUGAGAGGAUGAUCAGUCACACUGGAACUGAGACACGGUCCAGACUCCUACGGGAGGCAGCAGUGGGGAAUAUUGGACAAUGGGCGAAAGCCUGAUCCAGCCAUGCCGCGUGUGUGAAGAAGGUCUUCGGAUUGUAAAGCACUUUAAGUUGGGAGGAAGGGCAGUAAGUUAAUACCUUGCUGUUUUGACGUUACCAACAGAAUAAGCACCGGCUAACUUCGUG